UAGCUCAGCGGCAUAAGCACCUGCCUUGCAAGCAGGCAGUCCUGAGUUCGAUCCUCAG
rnacentral:tRNA from 1 species